GACGAACGCUGGCGGCGUGCCUAAUACAUGCAAGUCGAACGCUUCUUUCCUCCCGAGUGCUUGCACUCAAUUGGAAAGAGGAGUGGCGGACGGGUGAGUAACACGUGGGUAACCUACCCAUCAGAGGGGGAUAACACUUGGAAACAGGUGCUAAUACCGCAUAACAGUUUAUGCCGCAUGGCAUAAGAGUGAAAGGCGCUUUCGGGUGUCGCUGAUGGAUGGACCCGCGGUGCAUUAGCUAGUUGGUGAGGUAACGGCUCACCAAGGCCACGAUGCAUAGCCGACCUGAGAGGGUGAUCGGCCACACUGGAACUGAGCCACGGCCCAGACUCCUACGGGAGGCAGCAGUAGGGAAUCUUCGGCAAUGGACGAAAGUCUGACCGAGCAACGCCGCGUGAGUGAAGAAGGUUUUCGGAUCGUAAAACUCUGUUGUUAGAGAAGAACAAGGACGUUAGUAACUGAACGUCCCCUGACGGUAUCUAACCAGAAAGCCACGGCUAACUACGUG
rnacentral:rRNA from 1 species